ensembl:processed_transcript
GACCGGCGGUAAAGAGCCUCGAGAGUGAAUGUUAAUUUUUCGAAAGGAGAAGUCCUCUAUUUUAGCUUCAUCAUUCAGCCUGAAAACUGAACUGCAUCAUAAAACUUGUGCUUGAAAAGUGUCAUGGGACCCAUAUUAACUUUGCAGAAGAAGGAUUCCAGCUUAAAUAAAAACACGUGUCACAUCCAUAAUUGUUUGACAUCAUCUUCAAGCACACCUGGAUUCCUUGUUGCAAUGUCUUCAAAACAAAUGUAAAAAUGAAAGCAUUAAAGUGGUGAGCUCAUAAUGAUGGGAUCAAAAGGAAGUGAACUGGACUCUGAGGAACUUAACACAAGAUUGUGAUGGACCUAGAAUGCAACACCGUUUACGAAUAAGUCAAGAACCAAAUGAAACACUAUUUUCCAGAGCGCAGAUUAUGGAAGGGUCUGCAAAACUAAUGGAGCAGUUUCUUCUUCUUGGAGUGCCACAGCUUGAUGCUGCAUAUAAGGACUUAGUGAAGAACACAGAAACAUCUUUAAAAGAAAUGGCCCAAAAGAAGGGAAGGAAAGAAGGAAUACGCAGCAUUAUAAUAUUGUUUUACAGAAAUCCAAAGGUCCUAACAGCUCUCCUGAUUCCGUCAAGGCUUGAAGUGUCAGCAUUACGUUGGCCUACACUCCCUCACUUGCCUUCCGCUCCCUCAUUUAUCAGAGGCACCACAGUAGAAUGAAUUAGCAAUUACUUUUCACUUUCCAGCCGCAACCCAGCUCUGGGAAACACCUAUACACUCUCUCAUACACCUGCACACAUUCACUCACUGUGGCCAAUUCACCAAUACCAUACGCAUGCCUUUGGACUGU